UUUCAACCCACGGGGUGUCCUGGCGCUGUCAGGGCUGAGAGGCGGAUCGGGCGCAGGGGGCGUCCAGUCUGCAAACCCGCGAACCUGAUCCGGCUCACACCGGCGGAGGAAUAGGGAUAUGCGUCUUU
rfam:Sphingobium sp. GW456-12-10-14-TSB1 unitig_1.quiver.pilon, whole genome shotgun sequence.